rnacentral:rRNA from 1 species
AGAUUGAACGCUGGCGGCAGGCCUAACACAUGCAAGUCGAGCGGUAGAGAGGUGCUUGCACCUCUUGAGAGCGGCGGACGGGUGAGUAAUGCCUAGGAAUCUGCCUAGUGGUGGGGGAUAACGUUCGGAAACGGACGCUAAUACCGCAUACGUCCUACGGGAGAAAGCGGGGGACCUUCGGGCCUCGCGCCAUUAGAUGAGCCUAGGUCGGAUUAGCUAGUUGGUGAGGUAAUGGCUCACCAAGGCGACGAUCCGUAACUGGUCUGAGAGGAUGAUCAGUCACACUGGAACUGAGACACGGUCCAGACUCCUAACGGGGAGCAGCAGUGGGAAUAUUGGACAAUGGGCGAAAGCCUGAUCCAGCCAUGCCGCGUGUG